UAAGCGAGGAGUGAAAUAUGAUGGCUCAACCAUCAAACAUUUCUCGAACUGAAUCACUCGAGUAUGGUAGAGGUAGCUGGAAUUUCUAGUGUAGGAGUGAAAUCCGUAGAUAUUAGAAGGAACACCAAUGGCGUAGGCAGGCUACUGGACCAUUACUGACGCUGAGGCACGAAAGCGUGGGAGCGAACCGGAUUAGAUACCCGGGUAGUCCACGCCGUAAACGAUGGAUGCUA
rnacentral:rRNA from 1 species